rnacentral:rRNA from 1 species
UUUGGUUAAGUUAGAAAGGGCGCACGGUGGAUGCCUUGACACUAGGAGUCGAUGAAGGACGGGACUAACGCCGAUAUGCUUCGGGGAGCUGUAAGUAAGCUUUGAUCCGAAGAUUUCCGAAUGGGGAAACCCACUAUACGUAAUGGUAUGGUAUCCUUACCUGAAUACAUAGGGUAUGGAAGACAGACCCAGGGAACUGAAACAUCUAAGUACCUGGAGGAAGAGAAAGCAAAUGCGAUUUCCUGAGUAGCGGCGAGCGAAACGGAAUCUAGCCCAAACCAAGAGGCUUGCCUCUUGGGGUUGUAGGACAUUCUAUACGGAGUUACAAAGGAACGAGGUAGACGAAGCGACCUGGAAAGGUCCGUCGUAGAGGGUAACAACCCCGUAGUCGAAACUUCGUUCUCUCUUGAAUGUAUCCUGAGUACGGCGGAACACGUGAAAUUCCGUCGGAAUCUGGGAGGACCAUCUCCCAAGGCUAAAUACUCCCUAGUGAUCGAUAGUGAACCAGUACCGUGAGGGAAAGGUGAAAAGCACCCCGGAAGGGGAGUGAAAGAGAUCCUGAAACCGUGUGCCUACAAAUAGUCAGAGCCCGUUAAUGGGUGAUGGCGUGCCUUUUGUAGAAUGAACCGGCGAGUUACGAUCCCGUGCAAGGUUAAGUUGAAGAGACGGAGCCGCAGCGAAAGCGAGUCUGAAUAGGGCGUUUAGUACGUGGUCGUAGACCCGAAACCAGGUGAUCUACCCAUGUCCAGGGUGAAGUUCAGGUAACACUGAAUGGAGGCCCGAACCCACGCACGUUGAAAAGUGCGGGGAUGAGGUGUGGGUAGCGGAGAAAUUCCAAUCGAACCUGGAGAUAGCUGGUUCUCCCCGAAAUAGCUUUAGGGCUAGCCUUAAGUGUAAGAGUCUUGGAGGUAGAGCACUGAUUGAACUAGGGGUCCUCAUCGGAUUACCGAAUUCAGUCAAACUCCGAAUGCCAAUGACUUAUCCUUAGGAGUCAGACUGCGAGUGAUAAGAUCCGUAGUCAAGAGGGAAACAGCCCAGAUCGCCAGCUAAGGUCCCAAAGUGUGUAUUAAGUGGAAAAGGAUGUGGAGUUGCUUAGACAACUAGGAUGUUGGCUUAGAAGCAGCCACCAUUUAAAGAGUGCGUAAUAGCUCACUAGUCGAGUGACUCUGCGCCGAAAAUGUACCGGGGCUAAAUACACCACCGAAGCUGCGAAUUGAUACCAAUGGUAUCAGUGGUAGGGGAGCGUUCUAAGGACAGUGAAGUCAGACCGUAAGGACUGGUGGAGUGCUUAGAAGUGAGAAUGCCGGUAUGAGUAGCGAAAGACGGGUGAGAAUCCCGUCCACCGAAUGCCUAAGGUUUCCUGAGGAAGGCUCGUCCGCUCAGGGUUAGUCAGGACCUAAGCCGAGGCCGACAGGCGUAGGCGAUGGACAACAGGUUGAUAUUCCUGUACCACCUCUUUAUCGUUUGAGCAAUGGAGGGACGCAGAAGGAUAGAAGAAGCGUGCGAUUGGUUGUGCACGUCCAAGCAGUUAGGCUGAUAAGUAGGCAAAUCCGCUUAUCGUGAAGGCUGAGCUGUGAUGGGGAAGCUCCUUAUGGAGCGAAGUCUUUGAUUCCCCGCUGCCAAGAAAAGCUUCUAGCGAGAUAAAAGGUGCCUGUACCGCAAACCGACACAGGUAGGCGAGGAGAGAAUCCUAAGGUGUGCGAGAGAACUCUGGUUAAGGAACUCGGCAAAAUGACCCCGUAACUUCGGGAGAAGGGGUGCUUUCUUAACGGAAAGCCGCAGUGAAUAGGCCCAAGCGACUGUUUAGCAAAAACACAGGUCUCUGCGAAGCCGUAAGGCGAAGUAUAGGGGCUGACACCUGCCCGGUGCUGGAAGGUUAAGGAGAGGGGUUAGCGUAAGCGAAGCUCUGAACUGAAGCCCCAGUAAACGGCGGCCGUAACUAUAACGGUCCUAAGGUAGCGAAAUUCCUUGUCGGGUAAGUUCCGACCCGCACGAAAGGUGUAACGAUUUGGGCACUGUCUCAACCAGAGACUCGGUGAAAUUAUAGUACCUGUGAAGAUGCAGGUUACCCGCGACAGGACGGAAAGACCCCGUGGAGCUUUACUGUAGCCUGAUAUUGAAUUUUGGUACAGUUUGUACAGGAUAGGCGGGAGCCAUUGAAACCGGAGCGCUAGCUUCGGUGGAGGCGCUGGUGGGAUACCGCCCUGACUGUAUUGAAAUUCUAACCUACGGGUCUUAUCGACCCGGGAGACAGUGUCAGGUGGGCAGUUUGACUGGGGCGGUCGCCUCCUAAAGUGUAACGGAGGCGCCCAAAGGUUCCCUCAGAAUGGUUGGAAAUCAUUCGUAGAGUGCAAAGGCAUAAGGGAGCUUGACUGCGAGACCUACAAGUCGAGCAGGGACGAAAGUCGGGCUUAGUGAUCCGGUGGUUCCGCAUGGAAGGGCCAUCGCUCAACGGAUAAAAGCUACCCCGGGGAUAACAGGCUUAUCUCCCCCAAGAGUCCACAUCGACGGGGAGGUUUGGCACCUCGAUGUCGGCUCAUCGCAUCCUGGGGCUGUAGUCGGUCCCAAGGGUUGGGCUGUUCGCCCAUUAAAGCGGUACGCGAGCUGGGUUCAGAACGUCGUGAGACAGUUCGGUCCCUAUCCGUCGUGGGCGUAGGAAAUUUGAGAGGAGCUGUCCUUAGUACGAGAGGACCGGGAUGGACGCACCGCUGGUGUACCAGUUGUUCUGCCAAGGGCAUAGCUGGGUAGCUAUGUGCGGAAGGGAUAAGUGCUGAAAGCAUCUAAGCAUGAAGCCCCCCUCAAGAUGAGAUUUCCCAUAGCGUAAGCUAGUAAGAUCCCUGAAAGAUGAUCAGGUUGAUAGGUUCGAGGUGGAAGCAUGGUGACAUGUGGAGCUGACGAAUACUAAUAGAUCGAGGACUUAACCAUAUAA